rnacentral:rRNA from 1 species
UCCUACGGGAGGCAGCAGUAGGGAAUCUUGCACAAUGGAGGAAACUCUGAUGCAGCGAUGCCGCGUGAGUGAAGAAGGCCUUUGGGUUGUAAAGCUCUUUCGUCGGGGAAGAAAAUGACUGUACCCGAAUAAGAAGGUCCGGCUAACUUCGUGCCAGCAGCCGCGGUAAU